UACGGGGGGCGCAAGCGUUGUUCGGAUUUACUGGGCGUAAAGGGCGCGUAGGCGGCCAGCACAAGUCAGUUGUGAAAUCUCCGAGCUUAACUCGGAACGGUCAACUGAUACUGUGCGGCUAGAGUGCGGAAGGGGCAACUGGAAUUCUUGGUGUAGCGGUGAAAUGCGUAGAUAUCAAGAGGAACACCUGCGGCGAAGGCGGGUUGCUGGGCCGACACUGACGCUGAGGCGCGAAAGCUAGGGGAGCGAACGGG
rnacentral:rRNA from 1 species